rnacentral:rRNA from 1 species
GAUGAACGCUGGCGGCGUGCUUAACACAUGCAAGUCGAACGGACAAGAUGAAGCCUAGCGAUUCUUGUUAGUGGCGGACGGGUGAGUAACGCGUGGGUAACCUGCCUCACACUGGGGGAUAACAGUUAGAAAUGACUGCUAAUACCGCAUAAGCGCACAGCUUCGCAUGAAGCAGUGUGAAAAACUCCGGUGGUGUGAGAUGGACCCGCGUCUGAUUGGCUAGUUGGUGGGGUAACGGCCUACCAAGGCAACGAUCAGUAGCCGGCCUGAGGGGGUGAACGGCCACAAUGGGGCUGAGACACGGCCCAAACGCCUACGGGAGGCAGCAGUGGGGAAUCUUCCGCAAUGGGCGAAAGCCUGACGGAGCAAUGCCGCGUGAGUGAAGAAGGCCUUCGGGUUGUAAAACUCUGUCCUUAUUGAAGAGAGGUAUGUGUGUGAAUAAUGCAUAUAUAGGACGGUAAAUAAGGAGGAAGCCCCGGCUAACUACGUGCCAGCAGCCGCCGUAACAC